CCUACGGGAGGCAGCAGUGAGGAAUAUUGGUCAAUGGACGCAAGUCUGAACCAGCCAUGCCGCGUGCAGGAAGACGGCUCUAUGGGUUGUAAACUUCUUUUGUCAGGGGGUAAACGCAGAUACGUGUACCUGUCUGAAGGUACCUUACGAAUAAGGAUCGGCUAACUCCGUGCCAGCAGCCGCGGUAAUACGGAGGAUUCGAGCGUUAUCCGGAUUUAUUGGGUUUAAAGGGUGCGUAGACGGUCGGUUAAGUCAGAGGUGAAAUCCCGGGGCUCAACCCGGGAAUUGCCUCUGAUCCUGGUCGGCUAGAGACUAGUAGAGGUAGGCGGAAUGCAUGGUGUAGCGGUGAAAUGCUUAGAGAUCACGCAGAACACCGAUUGCGAAGGCAGCUUAC
rnacentral:rRNA from 1 species